rnacentral:lncRNA from 1 species
UCUUUCCCUGAUCAUGAACUCUGUAUUUCAGGCUAGAGAGGCAGGCCUUACGUGUCUCUGUGUGUUGGGCAAAUUUGGUGACACUCCUUGAAAUAGCGGUAAAUAAUGGUGACUGAUGUGAGUGAGAGGAACCAGGCCUCCUGGAAGAUGCUGCUGGAAUCUGGAAGAAAAGCUGACAAGACAUGGGGAGCAAGCCAGUAAGCAGCACCCCUCCAUGGCCUCUGCAUCAGCUCCUGCCUCCAGGAUCCUGCCGUGCCUGAGUUCCUGUCCUGACUUCCUUGAUUGAUGGACUAUGGUGUAAAAGUCUAUCUGAGGAGUGACGUAAUAAUCCAAAC